UCUCGUUCAGUUCCAGAAAAGAAAAACCGAAGAAAACCUAAAAAAAUUUAGAAAUCACCGAUCAGAACUUCGAAAAUCAACUGAAAACAGAAAGAAACUUAGUAGAUCUGAAGUGUUCUUUGAUUUAAAAGAACAAAUUCAACUGAAAACCGAAAGACAAAAUCAAUUUCAUUAGGUUCCAGAGAUGCAGUGAAUCAGCAACAGCAAACAUCGAAGGAAUUACUGAUUCAUACUAACUUUCUUCGAUGAUGUUGCAUGUGAUGAAAAUCAACAAAAUCGACUGAUUCUGUUGAUGAUGAAGAAAUUGAAGUCUUUAGUUGGCGUUAAGAAAGAGAACUGGCGUAUUCCGGACUGGAUCUAUUGCACAUUGAUAAAAGGUCACCCAAAAUCUCUUAAUGCAACUGAUGAAUUUGGAAAGCUUCAAAAAGAAAGAUAUGAUUGGGUAAAAUCUAGAUUCUAAUAUUAGUGACAAAGUAAAAACUGAUGUAAAUCUGUGGAAAAAAUCUACUUAAAAGGCAAUACUAUUGUUAGUAUUAGUUAGAUUACUAUUAAAUGAAUAUUAAGAUGUAGCAGACCUAUUUCAAUAUAUUUAAUAUUGUUGAAA